rnacentral:lncRNA from 1 species
UUUAGAUUUGGUUGGGAGAACAAUCUGUCACUUACAAAAUAAGAAGGAGGAAAAAACAAACUAUUUAUUUUUUAUUUUUUUGAGACGGAGUUUCGCUCGUUUCCCAGGCUCGAGUGCAAUGGCGCGAUCUCGGCUCACUGCAACCUCCGCCUCUUGGGUUCAGGCAAUUCUCCUGCCUCAGCUUCCUGAGUAGCUGGGAUAACAGGCAUGCACCACCAUGCCCAGCUAAUUUUUUGUAUUUUUAGUAGAGACGGGGUUUCACCAUGGUCUCGAUCUCUUGACCUCGUGAUCCACCCGCCUCAGCCUCCCAGAGUGCUGAGCCACUGUGCCCGGCUCAAACUCGGGUUUUCGUGCAGUGUGGAGUUGUGAAAGGCUGGCUGUUUCCGGGGUUUUCGUGCAGUGUGGAGUUGUGAAAGGCUGGCUGUUUCCGGGGUUUUCGUGCAGUGUGGAGUUGUGAAAGGCUGGCUGUUUCCGGGGUUUUCGUGCAGUGUGGAGUUGUGAAAGGCUGGCUGUUUCCGGGGUUUUCGUGCAGUGUGGAGUUGUGAAAGGCUGGCUGUUUCCGGGGUUUUCGUGCAGUGUGGAGUUGUGAAAGGCUGGCUGUUUCUGGGGUUUGGGAGCCACCCAUUAGGCCUCCUGGGACUCUCACCCCUUUACAAUCCUCAUGAUCAAAGACUCCUGACCUUUCUGAGCCAUGGGCCUCUUCUCUGAACAGGUCUUCUAAAUGCACAGAAUAAAAAUACAUUAGAUUACAAAGAAUUUCGAUUAUGUUGAAACAGUUAUCAAAAUAUUUUAAAAAAUGCUUCGGAUACAGUAACAAAUGUAUUUCUUCAUUAAUGCACUAAAUAACGAGAACUGGGGACGGGUCUAAUCAGCAUCUUAGCUUUGAAGUGGUCCUGGGUAUAAACGAUCUCUGGAGGUAGU